GGACCCGCACAAGCGGUGGAGCAUGUGGUUUAAUUCGAUGCAACGCGAAGAACCUUACCAGGGUUUGACAUAGUACGAAGUUUUUUGAAAAAAAACCACCUUCGGGAACGUACAUACAGGUGGUGCAUGGCUGUCGUCAGCUCGUGUCGUGAGAUGUUGGGUUAAGUCCCGCAACGAGCGUAACCCUUGUUUUUAGUUGCCUUUCGAGGAUAUUUAGAAAGACUGCGAUUAUAAAUCGGAGGAGGUAAGGACGACGUCAAGUCAUCAUGCCCCUUAACUCUGGGCUACACACGUGCUACAUUGGGUAGAACAAUAAGUUGCUAAGUUGCGAAACCAAGCG
rnacentral:rRNA from 1 species